rnacentral:lncRNA from 1 species
GAAUUCCUGCAGUGAAUCCUUUCACAAAGCCAAGCGUUCUUUUAUGAUGUGAAUACCUGUGCAGUUUAUCUGCUUUGUAAACCUGGGUGUGCGUUCAGUGGGCUUUUAAUGACAAAACUCUCCUUCUGGUGGUGCUGUUACUCGGGGUGACCCUUUUCAUCACAGUCUUGGUUUUGUUUGCCCUGCAGGCCUAUGAGAGCUACAAGAAGAAGGACUACACCCAGGUGGACUACUUAAUCAACGGGAUGUAUGCGGACUCAGAAAUGUGAGGGGGGCGGGGGCCUGGCGGGAGGCCUGGCCCCUUCCUCGUCCUUUCCUUUUGCCUUUGAGACCAAACCAAGUGCUUCCAAAUUCUUUUGGUGCAAUUGAGGAGAUAUGCCAGAUGCUUAAACACAUUUAAUUGCUGUCAGAUUAAUUCCAUGAUCACUAAAGAGUUGCUGCUUUUUUCAUA